UGGGGAAUAUUGCACAAUGGAGGGAACUCUGAUGCAGCGACGCCGCGUGAGUGAUGAAGGAAUUCGUUUCGUAAAACUCUGUUCUAUGGGAAGAAAAGGACUGUACCAUAGGAGAAAGCUCCGGCUAAAUACGUGCCAGCAGCCGCGGUAAUACGUAUGGAGCGAGCGUUGUCCGGCAUUAUUGGGCGUAAAGGGUGCGCAGGCGGCUUUACAAGUUGGAUGUGAAAUAUUGUGGCUCAACCACAAACGUGCAUCCAAAACUGCAAAGCUUGAGUUAAGGAGAGGUAAGUGGAAUUCCUGGUGUAGCGGUGGAAUGCGUAGAUAUCAGGAGGAAUACCGGUGGCGAAGGCGACUUACUGGACUUAAACUGACGCUCAGGCACGAAAGCGUGGGGAGCAAACAGG
rnacentral:rRNA from 1 species